AGAGAGAGAGAGAGAGAGAGAGAGAGAGAGAGAGAGAGAGAGAGAGAGAGGGAGAGAGAGAGAGAGAGAGAGAGAGAGAUUGUGUGUGUUUUGCUCAUUGCCGCUGGCUACAGGAGCCUAUCACCUGGUGUCCAACUAAAUGGCUUUUUAAUUGAGGCCAGGAUAAAAUGGUGUCAAUGACACGGCGAGCUUUAAGAGCUAGCGGAGCCGUCCUAAAUGACUCUCAUAAAGAAGAGAAACCGUGCUGCAAGUAAGUGUGUGAGUGUGUCUUGUCUUUCUGUUGUUGAGCUUGGGUCUAGCUAGGAGUGUGUGAAUGUGCGUGCGUGUGUACGUGUGUUCAGAUAAUGGCCAUAGUAAAGACCAUAUUAAGAACAUAUCAACAAUAUUUUUCCUAUGGUGAAGAACAGGGAGAGACAGAAUAAAACGACGUGAACCAUUUUUUUAUAAUUUCCUUUUCUAGGGUGAUCAUCAUCAUUAUUUCUUCUUUUUUUUCUUCUUUUCUAACAAAUCUCUUUUCUUGAGAACUUCCCAUAACAUACAUCUGCUAUUUCACAUGUUCUUAAACGUGUGUUUGUUUAGCAGAUGGGUUUAUCCCCGGCGGCCUGUGUGAGGUUAAACAAUCAAAUCUUACAAUCCAAAACACUGGAGCCAACUUUAAAUGGGGCCGAGCUUGCAGAAGUGGUCACCCCGUAAAACACCGGGUCACCGUCCCCCCCGGU
ensembl:lncRNA